GAGGGAGGAGGAGGAGGAGGAGGAGUAGAGACCUUCUCCCCACUCAGUCUCUUCAGAAUUGCCUCCAGUUCAGCAUCUCCCAGCAUAAUUAAAGGGCUGUCCCCUUUCUUCCCCUCAGCGUCACCACAUACAGUUCUCAGAUGUUCGUGGAAAUGAAUUAAUUCACCACUGAACUUGCAACGUGCCUGGUGCCUUUAGUGCUCAUUACCAUCACAGGACAGCUAGCGGGAUUAGAUCCAUUAUGUGGACUCCAUGUGUGGUUAAUGGCGAAGUCUGCGCGUGACAUCACAGCGGGAACAAUGGGCACAGCACUGCAUUGCUGCGCCGCGGCCGCGCAGCGCGCUCCGGGGCAGCCUCUAACGAGAUCAAGAUGGGCACGCAUCUGUGCUCCCCCAGAGAAGGCGGAAAACGCCAGGGAGCGGUCAGACGGCGGGCGGCACAAAGCAGGAAGAAUGGAGCGUUCGGGGGAUUCUGUAAGUAAAAGUAUUCAUGGAAUCUCCAAAUCCUACCAUCUCUCCUUUGGUCUCUAUUGGUUUCUUCUUUCUCAUUCUGUUAACGGAAAGCACACUGAGGGCUUUUCUAAGUCCCAUUUGGAUGCAAUCGGUCAUGCUGUGGAAUCUGCUAAGCGCAGCGAGCUCUCCAGCCGUGACAGCCUCCAGUGCCCCAGUGCCCUCCACAACCCAGGAGAUCUGUGACAUCAUCUGAGACAACACCCUGUGUGCUGCCCGGCCAGGAAGGCUGCUGCUCCUCCUCACUGGGGAUUUAGAAGGUGUCACUGGCAUUAUGUGGCGUGUGGCUGCGAUGCUUGAUUCUAACUGUGAAAUUUCUGUUAAAAUAACCCUUCGUUCAUGGAAUAAAAGACCCAUAAA